rnacentral:rRNA from 1 species
GACGAACGCUGGCGGCGUGCUUAACACAUGCAAGUCGAACGGAAAGGCCCUGCUUUUGUGGGGUGCUCGAGUGGCGAACGGGUGAGUAACACGUGAGUAACCUGCCCUUGACUUUGGGAUAACUUCAGGAAACUGGGGCUAAUACCGGAUAGGAGCUCUUGCUGCAUGGUGGGGGUUGGAAAGUUUCGGCGGUUGGGGAUGGACUCGCGGCUUAUCAGCUUGUUGGUGGGGUAGUGGCUUACCAAGGCUUUGACGGGUAGCCGGCCUGAGAGGGUGACCGGCCACAUUGGGACUGAGAUACGGCCCAGACUCCUACGGGAGGCAGCAGUGGGGAAUAUUGCACAAUGGGCGGAAGCCUGAUGCAGCAACGCCGCGUGCGGGAUGACGGCCUUCGGGUUGUAAACCGCUUUCGCCUGUGACGAAGCGUGAGUGACGGUAAUGGGUAAAGAAGCACCGGCUAACUACGUG